CGGGGGGUAAAUCAGGCCGUUUGCAAAAAUAGCUUGUGAAAUCAAUUUUCUACCUUAGUCUGGGAGAUUAGGGGUCGGAGGUUCAAAUCCUCUCGCUCCGACCA
rnacentral:tRNA from 2 species